rnacentral:lncRNA from 1 species
GGAAGCACACACAGAAGAAAUUUCUUGGUCAAGGAAUCAUGAACCUGUGAUAAACCGUUUCUCACGCAAGUUCUUCCACAGUCCCCUUUAUCAGCCUUUUAACAUCAUAGAAGAACAGGCUCAAAGUGCUGAUAGAAGAUGCCGAUGUGUACCAGAAGUAAAACAGAAGAUCAAGAUGAGGACGAAGACUACCUCUUCGAUCCGGACCAGCUGACAGACCGGUUGCCACAACCUUUCCGCAUGAUUGACAAGGUGGUCUCUGCUCUGCUGGAUAGGACCUGGGAGGAGAUAUCAGCGAGGGAGGAACAUAAAACACAAAAGAAGCUGCCUGUGAAGCAACCUACACAGGAGAUUGAGGUAAGUAGG